UAUCACAAGUUCUCAUACAAUCACCAAAGUUAAGCAAUGUUUUGCCUGGUCAGUACUAGGAUGGGUGUCUAUUGGGGAGUAAUGGGUGCUGUAAG